CUUAGCUCCAGUUGAGCUCCACCCUACACCGAUGGGUGUAGACAUGAACAAGCCUGGUUCCUGGCUGAACACGGAGCCAAGGGUACAGGUUUCUACGUCCUCUUCAGGGAUGCGGUAUUGAGAGUCAGUCACUCUGCCUGCUCAGCAUUUCUACCUUCUCCUGGACCAGCAGGCUACCUGGGGCAUACUCUCACGCUGAUUCCAGAAGCGUAAGAGCAGGCAAUUCUUCUUAAGGGCGAGGCUCGAAACUGGCACACUGUCAUUUCCACGCACAUGCUUUUGGCCAGAAGCGGUUACAUGGUCACGCCCAACAUCGGCGGUGGAUGCAGUCACCGGCUGAGGGUAGGCACGCAGGAAGGGUGCCGAACUGGGAGCCUUUGUGCAAUCACGUGGUGUAAGCCACCUUCCCUGGUGGCCGCUUUACCACCUGAUGGGACCCGUCUGCCUGAAUGAAGCCACCAGAAAAGAGAGCAAAGGCAAGAGUUGGAGACAUAAAUGUGAUAAUAUCGUUGGAGUCCCUGAAUCCUGCUGUGUGUCCUGACUUUUCACUUACUUUAAUUGUUUAAGUCCGUUUCAAUUGGGUUUCUGUUGUUUGCAACAAAAAGACACCUGACUGAUCUGUAUCAGUCAGGACACUCGGGAAGUCUACAGUGUCAAGCCAGAGAGACGAGAGGCAGGAUCCCAAGAGAAGGCAAGAUAGAACAAGCAGGUUCUAGAAGCUGAGCCCAGAAUGGCUGCCAGAGGCCACUGGGCUUGGAUCGUGAAGCCUCUCACGAGAUGCCCACAGAAGGCCAGUGGGAGCGCUAGAGGACACUGCCAUGUGAUCACUGUGGACCAAAGGACUACGUGGGCUCUUGUUUCUCCAGCAUCCGACAGACACAGAUGAAGCCGAGCAGAGGAGGCCCUGCUGACUCAGCCGCGCUGCCCCUCCCCCGCAAAGGAAAAACAACUUAAGUUCUGCAAAAGUACCACCAGGACUUCUAGGGUUGUAGGUACUAAACAAAGUCCUUGAACCUGUGAUUCUAAAAAAGGAACCAAAGAUUUGAGAGGAGCAAAUGAGACCCUGGGCCUAAGAGGAAGGAUCACAAGGACGCUCAUAUCUAAAUAGUCUUAGCAACGACAUUAACUCCAGACAGUACUAUUUAUUGAAAAUGAGCCACACGCCAAGCACAGGGCUAAGGAAUUGUCAUGUAUUAGGACACCUAAUCCUGUCGAGAAACCCGAGAGGGUAUUUUAUCGCCAUUUGACAAACAAGGAAGAUGCAGUUAGAGACGUUCCAUCCCUGUCCAAGGUCCUCGGGCUGAACCUCUGUCCUGCCCCAGAGCCCCUGAAGUUUAGACCAGGCUGCGAGCCUCCCUCACUACGAUUUUCUUUGUUCUUUCUGACCUCAGAGCCCGCAGGGACCUUUUAAUGAAUACUUCCUUCCCUUGCCCUUUUAUAGCCUACUGUUCUUUGAAAUGGGGGUCCAACAUCAGACUGGAGAGAAAAAUACCCUCUCUGUCAAAAACUUUGCUAGAGUCUCACUUUGGAGGGCAGUUGUGGUUUCCUGCCCGCACCCAGCCCCUCUUCCUCCGGUUAAGAGCACCCAGGUUUCCUUUGGGGAAUCAUCUUCUCCCAUCCCUCAGUUCAGGUGACUGAGGUGGGCCUGGACCCACACAGGUGAUGCUGCACCCCUGCUCCCUACUCUAGGGCUGGGCAUCUGAGCCUCAGCUCCCCACUGGUGCAGCCCAUGACGUGGGUCAGAGAGGUACAUGAUAUGCUGGGGCCAGAGUCUACUAGCUGGGCAACCUUGGGCCACUUACCUAAGCACUUCUGUGCCUCAGUCUUUCCGUCUGUAAAAUGGGAUGAUAAUAAUAUCCUCCCCCCCAACCUCUGUAGAGUUGUUAUGAGGAAGCAUUAAGAUGAUGCAUGUAAAGAACGCUUUACACACCCUCAGCAAGAUACAGCCGGGAUCACUGCUAAUCCAGGCAUGGGCACACUACCUGUCCAGGCUGAUGGGAAUCUUUGCUAGGAUUUUAUUGGAAGUACUGAGCAAGUCGCAUUCCCCACCCCGUCCCUCCUUCCUCCUUCUCUCUCUGGUGGGGAUAUUAGGCAGUGGGCUGUGGACCUGGAACAGAUAGUGGGAAGGAGAGUGGAGAGGUGCAGAGACAGAUUUUUCUCAGCUUUGUUCGGGGACCUGGGUCUGGCUGUGCUUGCGGUCACCACUCCCCUGGGCUUGGAGGUAGCGUGUGCCAAUGAUUCCCUUUGUGGGGAAAACCAGUUUUCGAUGGAGUCAGGGUGGGAACGGGGCAGCAGAGUGGAAAGGGUAAGGAUUGCUGGAAUAUGUUCAGACCUCAGCAUCUUCUGACUUUUCUCUCCUCUCUCAACCCACGAGACACACAGAGCAGUAAACUAGGACAGGGGGGGGAAAAUAUAGAACCUUUAUGGUAUUUAAUCUUUCCUUCCCUCCCGCCCUCAAGUCAGGCCAAAGGACACAGUCACUUUGGUACAACACAUAGCCGGGUACGCAUCUCAGCUCAGCCAUUCCCCAAUUAUGAAAACAUGGACAGUUUCUGCAAAGCUCUGGUUCAACCAUACGAACAUACGAAAUGAUCAUUUUUGCAGGUCAAGAAAUGGUUGAAUAUUGACAGUUUCACACUGAUCAACCUAAUAGUUCCCAUCUGAAUGGGGUUUUGCUAGGAUUAAAUAAGAUGAUACAUGUGCAUUUCUUAGCACGAUGCCUGGCACUGAGGUACUAUUAAGCGUUAAUUGUUACUACUACAGUGAUGAUGAUGGUGAUGAUGAUGAAGAAACAGUCACAAAUCAAAGCAAAGAGAAACAGCCUCAGCUAACAGCAGCAGUUUUCCAACUUGACUGAAAAUUCUGCUUAUUUUCCCCUACAUCUUGCUCUUUGGGAGUUUUGCAAUUUCUGUCUUCACCCGGACAGGGAGGCAAAAGGUUCACAAAAUAAACCAGGACCCUUCAGGCC